rnacentral:rRNA from 1 species
CCUACGGGAGGCAGCAGUGAGGAAUAUUGGUCAAUGGGCGGAAGCCUGAACCAGCCAAGUCGCGUGAGGGAAGAAGGCCCUGCGGGUCGCAGACCUCUUUGGACGGGGAGCAAGGCCGCCGACGUGUCGGCGGAAGGAGAGUACCCGUAGAACAAGCAUCGGCUAACUCCGUGCCAGCAGCCGCGGUAAUACGGAGGAUGCGAGCGUUAUCCGGAUUUAUUGGGUUUAAAGGGUGCGCAGGCGGAUUUUUAAGUCAGCGGUCAAAUCGUGGGGCUCAACCCCAUCCAGCCGUUGAAACUGGGGAU